AAAUAAAUACAUUCCCUUACAAAGCUUGUGUACAAGAUUAUAUCCUCAGUGUCAACAACCAGCAAAUGCUAAAAAUAUAAACAUCCUCAAGUGUACAAAACUUCUAAUGCGUAGACCUAUAGAAACCACCGGAGUUCUUUACAAUUUUUUGUACUUUCAACGCCAACCGUCCCAAGGUAAACUGGUCCACUUAGCUAAGGCUGAAGUGCCUCUCUGUACCACUUAGCUAAGGUUGAAGCUCCGUGAUCUAACUCUCAUGCACAAAAGGAGGUGAAAUAUUCCAUUAUUGUUCAUGAAUGACUACAUCAGGAAGUGAUGGAGAUGAGCCAGCGCUGACUUUGCUGGGAACUGGUGUAUUCAUUCUUGACUGGCGUUUUGUGGGGACAAGAACGCUAUCAGUCUCCAGUUUCAUCAUGAAGUCUUCAUCUUCAUCCUCAUCAUCGUCUUUGAAAACAGGAUGUACAUAAGCAUUUUGAAGGUAGCCCUUCAGAUUAAGAUUCGGUUCCCUUGCUUGUUCCAGAGUAUCUCUCAUCCUUGCUUCCUGAUAUCGAGAAGAAGAUAACCUUAGUCGUAGACAUUAGAAGAAAAACAAAAUGGAAACACUGCCAAUGUUUACAAAAAAAAAAAAGAGCUAAAACUAUUGUAACAGUGAAAAUUCUUAUUUGCAAGAUGUGCUUCCACACACACCUGUAUCGGAUAUUUGGUGAAAGCUGGCUCAUAACGACCUUUGCAGUACAAGUGAAAUGAGAUGGUCAGCACUGGAAGGGCAAUCAGGAAAGGUGCUGACUGAGUAGCAUGUUUUGUACCUAGCAAGCCCAGUAAAGAUAACUGAGAAAAGCACAGUGCGAAAAUUAUACGUCCAUGAACAUCUGGCCAGAAUGCUGCUGCACUUUCGUACUCCUGAUUGUAUACAUUUAUAAUCUGCAAGGUCUCAGGAAAAGAACCCAUCAGGAAAAGCUAAUUGUAACAUGCAACCAUGUCUACAUCAACAAUUUCAUAUCAGUAGCAUUAGUAUAUGCAAAUAGGUGACUGAUAAUAAAUUUUACUAGGAGAUGUGAAAUUGGCCAUGAAAAACUUGUAUCUAGCAUCAGCAAUUUCACCACGAAUUAAGUAUAUUAAUUCUCCUCAUCUUCACGAGGAACAAAGAUCACACAUAAAUUAAGUACACAAACAUACCAUAGAGAAGUAGUAAAUGAAUAGAAGACACUACCAUGAUAUAUUAAUAAUAGACCUACUGUGGAGACUUGUUAAUUACAUAUUGGCAUGGAACAGCUAAAGGUAUGUUAUAUCAAGGAUAGUUGUACAGCUCCCUCAACUACAUGCAUCUCCAUCAGUACAAGUACUCCACAUUCCCUUUGUCUGGAUUAAAUGUGGGAAGAAUUAAUACUACCAGUUAACAAAUACCCAGUUAAUGUAGUGUUGCAUGUGGCCUAAGGAAACAACAUUAAAACGGCAUUCAUAUGAACACAACAUAUCCUUGAACCCAUGGGAUUCCAUGUCUGAUCCCAAUAUCAAAGCUGAUGUAAUCCCUAGCUCCCUCAACUACAUGCAUCUCCAUCAGUACAAGUACUCCACAUUCCCUUUGUCUGGAUUAAAUGUGGGAAGAAUUAAUACUACCAGUUAACAAAUACCCAGUUAAUGUAGUGUUGCAUGUGGCCUAAGGAAACAACAUUAAAACGGCAUUCAUAUGAACACAACAUAUCCUUGAACCCAUGGAAUUCCAUGUCUGAUCCCAAUAUCAAAGCUGAUGUAAUCCCUAGCAUGUCAUCUAAGUAGAAGUAGGGCAUACAUAACUAGUGCAAAGGAUAUCAACUUUGUCUUGACACCAUAAUCGUUACAAGUACAAUGAAGUGCCUUGUGAGAUACUCCAUCCGUUUCAAUUUAUUUGUCUUAGUUUGACUUGACACGGAGUUUAAGAAAGUAAAUUAGAUCUUUGAAUCUUGUGGUCAUAAACAAAAAAAUAUGUAUAAUGACCCUUUAAUCUUGUGGUCUUAAACAUGUCAUGUGGGAUAUUGAAAUUAAAGACUUGUCAAAUUAGAGAAGAUGCCUUCUUUUUAAAACAAACUGAAAGAAAAGUACGACAAACAAGUUGACACAUAGGAAGUAAACAAAGUUUUGCUUAUUUUAUCACAUAGAUAUUUUAUUAAACAAGUAUCCUGUUUUAUUAUCCUUUCAUUCAAACUGGUGUAGUUAAUUAAGAAUCUAUUUUGUUUUCUUAGCUCAAGUAAAUCUUCUAUAUAUCUUUUAUCACAAUUUUCCAUAAUUAUAUAAUUAAUGACUUUGUUUUGCCACAUUCAAUUCCCCCCACAUAAUUUGCAAAAUCCGGUUGGAAACCACAUUUGUGGACCUCGAAAGAUGCUUAACACUUUCCUUUCGAGAUAAAAUUGAACCCUUGCCCGAUCUAUGGUUCCGCAGACCCUUUUAAUUGAAGUUAUUUGUAUUUAGUAUAGAAUGGUGCUCUAACGUGUCUUUAAUUCGCUAAGUGGCUAUUCUUCUUCGCUUUCUAAAUCCUAAAGAGAGUUAUCACGUCGUUGAAUCCCGUUUUGAGAAAAAUUGGGCGCGAUAGCAUGACGACUCAGCAAGUUUGUAAUAUUUGAGAACUUUAUGAUGUAAUAAAGCACCACAUGUUCUAAAGACUAAACACAGUGAGAUAUAGGCAUAAGAAGGAAGAGAGAAGACGAACCUGAUGACGAUAUACUACAUAUGCAAGGCCAAAGAAGACCAAUAUGAACGGAAGCAGAAAUGGUGUGACCACAGCAUAGACAAGCCCCAAUAAGAAAUAUAAUUGUAUCUGUGGUUCCCCUGUGUUGAAACCAACGCUUCCAGGAUCCAUUGCCUCUUCUCUAUCUUUUUCCGUCUUAACCAAGAAAAAGUUCUUCAAGUGGUAAAAUAUUAGCGGCUUCAGCCUUAGGAUCUCUCCAGCAAUACCAGCCCACCCGUCAACCAUUAUGUAGGUUAUGAAGAAGGAUGCUUUCAUAGGAACUGCGACACCAAUUGUUUUAGGGAUUCUGCAGAAAAUAUAGGAAAUUUUAUAGCAAGAUGCUCUUAAGUAAAAGGAUAUGGACUAGCAAGACUUGCCAAAGAAUGGAAAACUUGGAAUGCACCUAAUAGGAAUAUAGGAUAACACUGGCAAUGCGAAUAUAAUAGCAGAAUCAGCACAUAAAGAACCAAUCAUAUAUUGGCUGGAACCAAUAGGACUAGUAUUGACUAAAUAUGUAUUUCCUCAUAUUCAAGAAGACAAUAUAAGACAUUAUUAAAUAUACUACAAUUAAGUUUGUCAAGUAUAGGACAGCUUAACGAUCCUCUCAAGUGCAAAGAAAACCUUCUAGAAACUGAAGGAACUUGCCAAACACAAUACCAGUAUCCAACAUUCAUACUGAAGUCCAUGUAACAUACUUCUAGAACUAGAAAUUUAACUCUAUUACAGGCAUGGAACUCUGAACAGGAAUGAUCUCGUUAAUCAGCAUGGGUUUUAGGAUAGUAAAAGAGCAUAAAUACAUGAUAGCAUGCAUGGUCUACAUGACCAUUUUCACAUAUAGGUUGAGGCCAUCUGUAACGAGGAAGCCUAGCCUAUAUGAAUUGUUUCCUUCUCUUUUCUUCUAAUAGGUCAUAUCCAGUGGCGGAUCUAGGAUUUUCACUUAGGGAGUUCGAAAAAUAAAAAUCUAGUGUCAACCUCUUGAACUUGGAACCUCAAGGUGAAAUUUGAACCUCUAAAUCACUAAGCCAACCUCGUCUUAUGUUCAUAAUAAAAAUCUAUAUCUAUACAUAAAAAAUAUAAAAAAUUACUUUAUUAUAUACAGUAUAAUUCCCCCUAGAUCCACCACUGGUCAUAUCUACUGUUUUCUUGUAACACCCAACUUCACCAGGACUAGAAAACUGCCCCCCCAAAUAAACAUUUCACCAAGUCCCUAGAGGACUGAGCUUCACAGAAACUGAUAUCUCAGUAAUGUCAUGCUUAACUCCAUACGGGUGUCCAAAGACGUUGCACUUUACUAUUCUGAAUAAUUUAUUAGAGCAGAACUGAAAGAGUACAUCUAUGUGGACAUUAUAGAGAAACACUCUUGACGUGGCCAUUGUUCUACCUGCUGCAUCAGAAGCAGGCUCUAACUGCAUUCCCAAAAUUUCCCCAUUGAUUCACAAGUUAAAGAAAGGCUGAUACAAAUCUAGUAACAUAUUUUCGCUAAAACAACGUACUGGUUUGCUGACUGAUUGAGAAAGGUACUUAGUUGUUCAAAUGCAGCUCCUGCAAUUAUAUUCCCGAGGAACACAUUUACAAUAGUGAAGAUGUAGUAUUUAGAUGCAGAUUUCCUCUCUAGAGCUGAAAUGCUUAGCCAGCCCUCAAAUUUGGACAUCAUCAUCAAUAUGGUUGGCAGAAAUAUGAGAAAGAUCUUCAAAGCAAUCCCAGGUAGAAAACCUUGGAUGAACGCCUUGAUGAAAGGUCUGCAUGAUAAAUCAGUAGAAUUAUUAGGCAUAAAAGAGUAAUAAAAGAAAUCUACAUUUGAGAUAAGCUGGUGCAUGACUUCUAUGAUCGUGAUUGGCAAAAAAACCAACUCAGAUAACAGCCCAUUCCUCGGCACAAAGACCAAAAAGGAGAGGAGAAAGCAAGAAAAGAAUUUGGAAGAACUAGCAGAGUAAAUUCAGCACAUAUAGAUAGUGUUUCAUUGCUGUGUAUGACUUGUCAUGUCAAUUUAGCAUCACAAAGAAAUCAGAAAUCCAUGGAUCAUCUCACUACGUAAAUAGAAAAUAGCAUUUCUAGGUUGCACACUUUUGUCAAACAUCUCUUUUGUGAGUGAUGACAUAAUGUAAAAGCGAUUAAGUAUCUCAAGGAAUGAGAUGACACAAAUCAUACAAAGCUAAACUAACUAUGCACAAUUCACCAAUGUCAAACAAGUUCCAGUAAGUACUCACAAAUAUCAAACCACUAAAAUUUGUUUUUGAAAUUGUUCUCACGAUGAGACUUAAAAUAAAUGAACAAAAGUAAAAAGACAAACCACUAGAUUUUGUUUUUGAAUUUUAUUUUUUAUUUUGAGACGGUAACGGUUGUAUGUAGUAAGCACAAAUCAGUAAUGGGUUGUACUGAAACCAUAUAUACAAGUGAGCAAAACCUAAAGUGUCUAGGACAUAUAUAGUAUCUUCUGAGUAGACCUGAUUGCACCAAAAAAACAAAGACCUGAUUGCACCAAAAACCAUAUAUACAUUUUGUUUUUUGAAUUAUUGUCGCUAGAGUCUUGAAAUAAAUGAACCAAGGUAUCAUAUCACCAUCAAGGAUCAUGAGUACGACAAAAACUAAUGAGAGAUGAGGCUGACUUCAGAACAAGUGUGGAAUGUGGUACUCACUCGUCAAUGAUAACUUUCAGAAAUGGUGCUUUCUUCCUAAUCCCAUCAAGGCUGGCAAGGGUUUGGACAAAUGCAAUUGGGAUCAUGAAGAAGAAUGUCAGAAAAAAGAAGGAAACAGCAAUAAUGAGCUUCCUAAUUGUCAAAGAAACAUAGGGGAUUGCCAGGUUGUUCCAAAAUACAUCACGUGGCUCUGGAGCCCAUUCUGUCAACCACAAGGUUGGAUUUCUGGAUUGCUGUGUUUGUGCACAAACAGCAGCACCCCACCGCGAUUUGAAGGAGACAAAUGAUGCAGGCAUGGUAGACUUUGGGUCUUUUUCUACCCUUUGUUUCUCUUCAGCUAUCUACAAGUAAAGUCAGACCAAGGCAUUAGUAGAAUUAGAGCUGAUUUAUAGCAUAACAACAACAACAUAUCCAGCUAAGGGGAGUCUGGGGAGGGUGGUGUGUAUGCAGCCUUACCCCUACCUUGUAUAGGUAGAGAGGUUGUUUCCGAUAGACCCUCGUCUCAAGUAAAGCAUAUCAAAAUCAAGUAUCGAAACGAAAUACAGAAGUGAAGAAGACAUGCUAGAAACAAAAGGAGAAGUGAACAGUAACGACAGCAAAUAAUACAACCAAAGCAAAGGAAGACAACAGCAUCGACCAACAAGAACAAACUCAAUGUAAUCCCACCGGUGGGGUUUGAAGAGGGUAGAGUGUACGCAGACCUUACCCCUAUACCUUGAGAAGGUAAAGAGGUUGUUUCCGAUAGACAUGAAAAAGAAGCAGAAGUAACAAGCAGAAACAACAGUAAGAAAAUAGGAUAUCGACGCUAAAGAAACACAAGUAGUAAGAGAAAUCUAAAGAUUAGGGGAAAAAAAAGAAGAAUAUUAAUACUCUGAGAAUGGAAAAGAAAUAUGCCCGCCCUCCUACUAAUCUUCUACCCUAAUAUUCUACCUCCACACCCUCCUAUCCAACAGCAUCAACCAAAAACAGAAAAAAGAAAGGGACAACAGGAAAAGACAAGAAAAAGAGAAUAGACUCAUUUGUGAAUGUAGCAAUGUCAGAUAAAUGGUUAAUGGAAAGGAAAGUUAUGUCCAAUGGGAUAUCCUUUUCUAGUAAACAGGAAUUUCUUUUUCCAGUGGAGAUCCUUUACAUAUAACAUAUCAAUGUUCAGUGAUGCUGAAAGCAAGUCAUUCAGUAUUCUCCAUGACACACUCUACGCCUCUGAUCUAAGAAGGAUAGUUAAGUCAAUAACAUGUCGAUUGGAAAUCUUUCAACUUAUUUAGGGAGAUUAAAGUGUGGUAUUUACCUCUUUUGUCAAUCUUUCAAUUUCAGCAAUCUGAUGCUCAAUUGCGUCAACUUUUGCCCCAAAGCAUCCAAGGAAACCAGUCUGCAAAUUUUAAAAAAGACGUACUGAAACAACUGGUUUAGAGGUAGACAAAACUUUGUUAAAGAAGUACUAAUUGAGCCUCGGAACAUACUUUAUGAUAUUAGAAGUUAGAAAUAACAAUCUGUAGGAUCAGGGACACAUCCAUACCUUCAUCAUAGGCCGUUUUGAUUGAUCCCUAGAGUACUUAAGUUGGUAAUAGUCGAGCCAAUUUUGCUUACUCUUCUUCUCCUUCACCAGUUUUGCUAGUUUGUUGGCAUUAUAAACACCCUAUAGUAAAAUCCAAGUAAGUGAAUAAAGAUGAAAUAGCAUAUCAACAUAAAAAAUAAAGCAUAAAUGAAAAAUUUGCAUAUAAUAAGAAAAUUUUAGUCCAUCCUACUGAAAUAUUUAACAUGCAAGUAACUUUUAUCAGGGGAUAGUAAAAUCUAAGACCAGCCUAUCAGAGCACAAACUGAUGAAUAAUUAUUCUACAAGGGAUAAUAAAUGCUGAUAACUUCCAUGAAAAGAAGCAUUACGGAUGAGAAAGAUGAUAAAAGAACAAACUUACAGAAAAAAUUGUAAGUUGAAAUUUCAAUUACUAAAAUAGAUAAUAGCUUUUAAGAUGACUGACAAAACUUUCAGAAGGUUUCACACAUGAUUCAUACUUCUAUUCCUACCUUUUAAGUUAUAUUCAGAUCUUUGCCUUCUAUCGUGUUAUGUUGUCACAUCAUAACUUACUUUAAAUACUCCAUUUUAGUUCCUAAUGUCUCUUCGCCUGCAGAACUAGUUGUCUUCCUUAUGCUAAGCCACAAGUCCUUAAUUCCUCCUACUGCAGUAAUAAGCAACACUAAUGAAGAUUUUGACAUUUGGGUGGGCUCAAUGUAAGACAAUUCUUCAAUUUUGUUAUUUGCUUUUACAUUGAGAGUGGAAACCUAAUUGGUCGAUUGCACCAAUGGGUAUGGCCUAAUUGUCAAUGAAGUGGGUUGAGAAUCCUAGGCACACACUAGGUGAUUCCUACUGCAGUUGUCCAAGUCUUGGUUGAUAGAGUUACGAGGUACCUGUGGUAGGAGGCAGGUACCGCAUACAAUUAGUCAAGGUGUGCACAAGUUGCCCGGAUGCUAUAUAUAUAAUUUUAAAAAAAACUAUUUGGUGGAUUAGCUUAUGAAAAGUUUACAAAAAAAGAUAAUCUAAAUUGAAGUUUACUAGUGCCCCUUCCCAUGAUGAACUAAAUGAUUGGUUCGAGAAAGCCUAUACGGAAAGUUUCUAAGUUGAAAAAAAGAAGCACGAAUUGGUGUCCUCAAUCAGUUAAUUUCUUUUUUCUUCCUGUUUGUGAUUAUAUGUCAAGAUGAACAAAUAGACGCUUGUUGGCAUUCCAGCCUUCCUUCUCCUUUCAGGCCUAUCCGAAAGAGAAUCCAGUACUUCUUGGUCGUGAAUAUCUGAACUGGUUGUUUGCUGUUCAAGAAUUCUUGUGAAGGGUGAGGUUCAAACGAGGAAAGGCUUACGGUGGAUACCUAGGCACCCAGAGUCGAGGAAGGGCGUAGUAAUCGACGAAAUGCUUAUAUCUCAAGAUGAAGAACACAUAAAGAAAUAUACACAACAAGCAAUGACAGACUCCAUAUCUAUGGAACUGACAUACCAAACAUGUUUACAGUCUCGUCUCAAAAGAGUAUAGCCAGUUCUGUUCCCAGCCAAGGGCUACUGGCCUUGAGGAAGUGAUUACUUGGCCAUGAGAAGAUAUCCCAACCUAAACUACAUCCAUCCAUCUACAUGGUAGGGAGUAUUAGAAGCUACAUAAAAAUGUGACAUCGUCUAACCACUUAAGAAUUUAAAUGAGAUGGUGCACAAUACAACAUGGCGUCGAACUGUGACGUGUGCCUAACCCACUCAUCACACACCGCGUCUUAUCAGUUAUCACUAGCCCAAAGUUUUGGGGGCUUCAACAAGGAGCAUAAUUUCAACAACAAAAAAUAUAUCACUUCCUCAAAACAAUAUGAGAUACUUGUCUUUUUUAUCAGUAAAACAGCAUGAGAUACUUGUAUUCCACCAAGUUCGAACCUGAUGCAUGAGAUAAUGAUCUUGAUGGUUAACCAGGAAAAAGUGCUCCACACAUUCACUAACUGAUUCAUCAGCAUCAGGCGGAACAUUCCUAACAAGGACCUGUAAUAAUCAAAUUUUAGCACAAGAAGUAAUGUAGAUAAAAGUUGCAGUCACACUGUUCAAGAUAGUAGGCUUAAAAAAUCCAGAUGGCAAUAGGAAAUGAGGUAUAUUCAUUCUACGUAAACUAGUCUAUUGUUUAUUCAAAACAAAAAUCUAGAUACUUGUAAAUAUGUUCCUCAAAUUAAGUUCUCAGAAGGAGCACUAAUGUGUCAAAACCUAAGAAUGCUACUAUGAUUAGCUCUCUCCAGAAAAAAAAAAUUACACUAGUAAAAUCAAUGUAAAUACAUAUUUUCUAUAUGUAAUGUAAGACUUAGUGAAAACCCCAUGAAAAUACACUUACUCUACACUCCCUUCUAACAAUUUACCCUGAUGUCAUCUACUCUCUUAAUAAGGAAUUGACUAAGAUAUGAACAAAAAUGCACCACAGAGCCAUACCAUCAAGGGGGGAGGAAAUGGAAGUUACGAGACCCUCUGCUAUUAAGUUUUCUUCCUACUGCUUAAUCAAAUGGCUAAUAUACAUAAAAGAGUAAUUGUUAUCAAUGAAAUUGUAAAAAAAGCGCCAACAUGCUUCACUCCACCUCAUAAUUCAAGGAGGUAAAAGUAAUGUUUUGUCUCCUGAAAACUGCUUUCAAAAAGCUCAAAAGAUUUCUGUCCACACAUUAGAUAAAUUAAAGUUUAAACAGACAUGCAGCUUGGGGGUAUGUUAAAUGGACGAAAGAGGUCAAAAGAAAUUAAAAUUUUCAGUUCUAAUUCUGUUUAUGGCUAUCACAAUCCCACUCACACACACAAAAAAAUUAUUGGGCAAAGGAGUUCUAAAUAUAUUAACCACUUACUUGGGGAAAUUACAGGCUUAAUUUAUUGCUUCAAACUAAUCAAAUGCAUAAAGGAGUAUUGCAAAUAAUUUCAAGAAGAACCAAUGUUUCAGUCCACCUAUAGAGAGACCAAAAAGUUGACAGAGGUAAACAUGAAGUUGUCAUCUGUUCACUGCCUUCCAGAAAUUCAUAAUAUAUUUAUCCAUAGAUUAGCCACCAAAUCACGCAAACCAUGAGAAGAUUAAGAUUGCAAAUUUCAAACACAAACAAGAAAGCAGAAACUUAGAAACUUUAAUUACUCUCUUAAGUUUGAACAGUUAAGGA
rnacentral:lncRNA from 1 species